rnacentral:misc_RNA from 1 species
AUUCAAGAAGGCGGUGCCUCAGUCCAGUGUAGUGUCCGGAUUUGGAACAACCAUUUCAAGAAAAAGCCAACGAAAGCUAUUUAUCAUUUGACUGAAAUGCACUGAGUUGCAGCCUGCCGCUUUUUAUUUUGCGUUUUUCUGUCCUCCGAAAAUUGACCCUGUAGUUGGAACUUUGAUUGGUUUGUCUAGGGAUUCACCAUGCGGAGAACAAGUUUAAGGGCACGGGCCAAAGCUUCUGAAGAUGUUGAUACUCCGCCACCUAAACGCGCAACACGGAGGGGGCGUCGCAAGAAGUCUGAAUCUUCUUCGGAUGAAGAAUCAGAGGAAGAAGUCAUGCCUACACCAAAAUCGAGGAGAGCAAUUGUUGAACCUGAAGAAAGACCUGUUCCCACUACUCCUGCUGCAAGCCGCACUCGCCGAUCCUCCCGAAGAGUUGAUGUGCCCGUGGAAGAGACCAAACCAGCAGAGACUGUAGAUUUAGAAGCAGACAACAACGCAGACAGAGACUCCAAUGGUUCAAAUGAAACUGAAGCAGAUUCAAGUACUGUAUGGAAAGUUCAAAACUCCAAUGGAUCAGGCACUGGUAUAGCCAAGUUGAAGUUGUGUCGCUCAGGACCUGUGGAGCCAGAAAUAGCUUCACCCCGUAAAAGAAGAGGAGUCAGGGAACCUGAGAUGCACACGAUUGUUGAGGUGGAAGGAAAUGUUGCUCAGCAGCUAGCAGCUGUUGCGCAGCCAAGUCCGACGCCUGAGCCGGAUUCCUCUGGUUUAACUGGCAAAGCACGAGCCGCGAGGCGUUUAGAGCAGGUAUCAAAGGAAAGCUCAUCAUCUUCAUCGUCUUCCUCCUCCUCCUCCACAUCUUCUUCAUCUUCAUCUGAGAAGUCACGAUCAUCAACCCCUGAUAAAGCUGAAGAAGAAGAGGAGGAAGCCAAAGAGGAGGAUGAUGAAAUCCAAGUUAUUAAAGAAGAUUCUGCGUCAGUUCCAUCCAAAUCUUCUGAAGAAAAUGAAGACUCAUCUUCUCGUGAUGGCUUAGAAGUUAUUGAGAAUGUGGCUGGCACCAAAACCAACAAGGGAGACAAGGUAGUUGUUAAAGUUAAAACAGUUGUGCCACCUGGAAAAGCAGAAGAGACCGAGAAAGCUAAUGCUGCCGCUAAGGCUGCAGAAGCUCAGGCUAAAGCAGCGGCCGAAGCCAAGGCUAAAGCUGCGGCCGAAGCCAAAGCCGCCGCUGAGGCCAAGGCUAAAGCAGCUGCAGAAGCGAAGGCUAAAGCUGCUGCAGAAGCGAAGGCUAAAGCCGCCGCCGAAGCCAAGGCAGCUGCCGAAGCCAAGGCCGCGCAAGAAGCCAAGGCCGCCGCAGAAGCCAAAGCGAAAGCAAUCGCAGAGGCCAAGGCCGCCCAAGAGGCGAAAGCAAAAGCAAUUGCUGAGGCCAAAGCCGCCGCAGAAGCCAAAGCCGCCGCAGAGGCCAAGGCUAAAGCAUUAGCAGAAGCCAAGGCCGCCGCAGAAGCCAAGGCCGCCGCAGAAGCCAAGGCCGCCGCAGAAGCCAAGGCCGCCGCAGAAGCCAAGGCUAAGGCAGAAGCCAAGGCCGCUGAAGAAGCCAAAGCCAAGGCAGCUGCAGAAGCCAAGGCCAAAGCAGUAGCAGAAGCCAAGGCCAGGGCCGCCGAAGAAGCCAAGGCCAAGGCCGCCGAAGAAGCCAAGACCAGGGCCGCCGAAGAGGCCAAGGCCAAGGCCGCCGAAGAGGCCAAGGCCAAGGCCGCCGAAGAGGCCAAGGCCAAGGCCGCCGAAGAGGCCAAGGCCAAGGCCGCCGAAGAGGCCAAGGCCAAAGCAGCAGCAGAAGCCAAGGCCAAAGCAGCAGCAGAAGCCAAGGUGAAGGCCGCCGAAGAGGCCAAGGCAGCAGCAGAGGCCAAGGCCGCUGAAGAAGCCAAAGCAGCCGCAGAUGCCAAGGCUAAGGCAGCUGCAGAAGCCAAGGCUAAGGCAGCUGCAGAAGCCAAGGCUAAAGCCCUGGAAGAAGCCAAGGCCAAGGCCGCUGAAGAAGCCAAAGCCAAGGCCGCUGCUGACGCGAAGGCUGCCGCAGAGGUGAAGGCCAAAGCAGAUGCCAAAGCUGCUGCUGACGCCGAGGUUGCUGCCAAAGUUCAAGCUCAGGCCAAACUUGACGCAGCAGCCAAAGCUGCAAAGGUAUCCGAAGAAGCGGUUACACCCACUGAAGCCAAUGCUGACGAAAGUGACGAUGAAAAGGAAUCCGCUGCUGCACCCGUACAAGUGCCUGAGGAGGAGGACCAGUCUGACGACGAGCCCGUGAUGGACCUUGCUCCAGGGUCACCUGUGGAACAUGAUACUGAGAUGGCUGAAGCUGAAGCUGUAGAAGCGAGAGAGGUGGAAAAAGCUCGUGGGAGGAGACGUACUCAUCGCUCAGCAAGCAGUAGUUCAUCUUCAGACCGUAGUUCAAGUUCAGACUCGGAUUCUGAAAGUAACUUAAAACGAAAGAAGACCAGGCAUUCUAGUAAUGAACGUGAUACAGUUCCUAAGAAAAUUGUUCGUGGUCUUGCUCCAAAGCAGGAAGACACUCAAGUUGUUAAGGAACUUGUUAAGACAGAACCUGUUAAGGACGAGACGCCUGCACCACCCACACGGUUGCGCAGAAAGCUUCCUAGUACGUCUGAGCUGGCUGAAAAAGUUUCUCUCAGAAGAACUAUCUCUGCACCUAGUGAGGACCAGACAAAAUCUGAAGAUGGAACGGCAUCAGAAAAUCCAGCAUCUUCUGAUGCUACUGUAGAUGAAAAUAAGGAGAAUUCAAGCAGUGUUCCAAGCCCAGAGGAAGACAUCAAACCUUCUGAACAGCCAGUAGCACGCAAGCGAAGGUGGGGUUCAUGCAAGAGUAUUAAGAAGCCUGUGUUAUGUAUAUCAUCAGAUCCUUUAAAGAAUCUUAUUCCUGAUGCUAAACCAGUUGCUGAGAGUGAGGUUCAUUUAAAUCUUGAAGAAGAGGGAGAAGUGUUUGACGAGGAUGAACGAUCAUCGAAUUUGGAGAGAGGGAGAGAAAGAAUUGUAGUUGACCGGCCUCUUCCUCCACCAGGUGCUUCCUUGCCUGAAACUACUCGCAUAGUUGUUAAUUCGUCAUUAGAAGCUGAAGAGAAAAAAAUUGAACGAAAGAUUUCUGUGUCCAACGAAGGCUCUAGAGCCACUAGUACAAAAUCGCCUACCCCAUUAAAACAAAGAAUUUCCACUGUCCUUUACAUAACAAAUUUGGUGAGACCCUUCACUGUGGGCCAACUGAGGGAACUUCUCUCUAGAACUGGAAAAUUUGCUGAAGGAGGAUUUUGGAUUAAUAGCAUUAAGUCACAAUGUUACAUUGAGUAUGAAAAUGAGGAUCAGGCUGUAGAAACUAGGCAUGCCUUGCAUGGGGUGCAUUGGCCUAUUUCCAACCGCAAAGCACUUCAUGUAGAAUUUGCCAAGAAAGAGGAUAUGAUAAAAGCGCAGUCUGAAGCAGAAGGUGAACCCAUUGUUAUCAGAAAGUCUGUUCUGCCCAGUGACACUCAUCACAGAGAUGUCAAAGAUCUUGAUGAGAAAAUUAUAAAGGUGGCUCAGCCUGUGCGUGAAUGGGACCUCGGCAAGGUGGCGGACGCGGCGGACGCGAGGGAGGGCGGUCUCGACGACAGAAAGAAGAGGGAGGACGAUCGGCGAGUGAGACGAGACAAGCGGUCGGUGUCGCCAUCUCAUGACGGCCCAGCCCGCAAGGCGAAGAGAACUGAAGAAGCAGCCCCUGCUAAGUUACUGGAUGACCUGUUCCGGAAAACAAAAACCACGCCUUGUAUCUACUGGCUGCCGCUCACGCCUGAACAGAUUGCCGAGAAGGAGGAGAUGCGUCGGAAGCAUAUGGCGGAGCACGAGAGGCUGCGGGCUGAGAUGAGGAGGGCCCAUGAGAGAAACACGCAACGGGGCCCGGGCCGAGACCAAGGCCGGGAUCAAGGCAGAGACCAAGGCAGAGACCAAGGCCGCGACCAAGGCCGCGAUAGAGACCGCGAGAGAGAGAGAGAAAGAGACCGAGACCGCGAACGUGAGCGAGACAGGGACCGCAAGGACAAACGUCGUGGUAGCAAAGACAAAUAGACGACUGCAUUAUGGCAUAACUGCAUUUGCACUGCAAUGAAGGAGAAGAAGCGUCUCGACACUCCGACUCCUGAAAUCUUUGAGGAAAUGCUUCCAGGAUGCAUCCUGACCCUGGGGCUGUCCCGUCUUGAAUUUGGCUGCCCUGCCCAUCAGGAAAUGCAAGGCAUUCAAGCACAACAUUUGAAGAUCGUCGUCAUCUUUUGGAAACCAACUGUUCUGAAACUCCUGAAGGCACCACUCAUCAAGUACUUGUACAUCUGCAUUGACUUCCAUUGUUGAAUCAUCUGUCAACAUCUACAGCUCUGCUGCUUGUCCAGAUGUUACCUUGUACAUAGCACCAAAGGAGUUAAAUGAGCUGUCUGAUUUGUGUUCAAGAUAAAGCUAUGUGGCAAAAUGCAUAAGGCAAAAUGAAUUGACUUGCUUGCCCGCGUUUGCGCCUUUUCACUGAAAUGAACUUGGUGUUUUUCCAUAUUUCACCAUACACCAAUACUUUGUUAGCACUUGUGAUGUGAAAUGUUUAAUUUUUUUUUACUGAACCAAGUUGUGUCUUGUCUGUACACACUACAUGUUUUUAGCCAAGAAUUAUUAAAUUGUUUUAAACUGA